rnacentral:rRNA from 1 species
GCAGGCUCGCGCUUGAAUACAUUAGCAUGGAAUAAUGAAAUAGGACGUUCGAUCCUAUUUUGUUGGUUUCUAGGAUUGACGUAAUGAUUAAUAGGGAUAGUUGGGGGCAUUAGUAUUCAAUUGUCAGAGGUGAAAUUCUUGGAUUUAUUGAAGACUAACUACUGCGAAAGCAUUUGCCAAGGAUGUUUUCAUUAAUCAAGAACGAAAGUUAGGGGAUCGAAGACGAUCAGAUACCGUCGUAGUCUUAACCAUGAACUAUGCCGACUAGGGAUCGGAUGAUGUUAUUUUUAAUGACUCAUUCGGCGCCUUACGGGAAACCAAAGUGUUUGGGUUCCGGGGGGAGUAUGGUCGCAAGGCUGAAACUUAAAGGAAUUGACGGAAGGGCACCACCAGGGGUGGAGCCUGCG